rnacentral:rRNA from 1 species
CCUACGGGCGGCAGCAGUAGGGAAUAUUGCUCAAUGGGGGAAACCCUGAAGCAGCAACGUCGCGUGGAGGAUGACGGUUCUAGGAUUGUUAACCCUUUUUGUUAGAGAAGAUAAUGACGGUAUCUAACGAAUUAGCAACGGCUAAUUCCGUGACAGCAGCCGCGGUACUACGGCGGGUGCAAGCGUUACUCGGAAUCACUGGGCGUAAAGGGCGCGUAGGCGGGAUAGCAAGUCAGAUGUGAAAUCCUAUGGCUUAACCAUAGAACUGCAUUUGACACUGUUAUUCUAGAGUAUGGGAGAGGUAGGUGGAAUUCGUGGUGUAGCGGUAAAAUCCGUAGAGAUCAAGAAGAAGUCUCAUUGCGAAGGCGACCUGCUAGAACAUAACUGACGCUGAUGCGCGAAAGCGUGGGUAGCAAACAGGAUUAGAUACCCGAGUAGUC